rnacentral:lncRNA from 1 species
UUCCUCUCCAGGUCUCAUUUUUUAUUUAGUGAUCUGUGUUGCCAUCCUGGAUUUCUUCAGGCUGGGAGGGAUGGAGCCAGGGCUCUGUUGGGAUGCUGCUCCUGGUCCACACCCUUCCAGCAGGGAUUAUGAGGGGGCAGCAAUCCGGGGGAUUCUGCCAGUUUUAUUUCCUUUGCCUUGCCGUCAGUCCAAGCCAGGGAAGAAACUCAGGAACCCAGCAGCUGCCACAGGAGAAGAUGAAGGAUCACUGCACCACAGAAGUGAAGGAAUUCCUGGAGGUCGAGGCUGAGCUGCUCUUCCCCAUGGGAGGGGCCAUAUAAAGCACAUGAAGUCAUGUCUCUGCUAUGGCUGCUAUGAACAUAUGGACAGCAGUAUGGAAACCAUCCCUGCGUGGAUUAUUCUAGAUGGACACUGCUGGCAAGAGCAGCCUGCCAGGAGGGUCCCAUUCCCUGGAAGUGCUGGUAUCCAUCCCAUCAUUCCCAGUGCAGCUUCACACACUGCCCUGUUCUGGGGUUUGGAGCAGUUAAUGAUUCUUGUCUGUAUUUCAGCCUGAGCUCUGAUUUAGGGCAGGUUGAGGAGUCCAGCAGCAGUGGCUCUUUUCCAGCUGUCAUUCCCCUUGUGCUGAAGAACUAUUCCCAGUCCUCUGUUUUACUUUGCUGCAAAAAUGUUGCUGCCAUUUCCUCAUUUACUGAAGGGUACAGCAUUUACCUGGUGAAACUGCUGCAGAGUGUUCUCAGCUUCAGAAAGAAAGGGUGAGAGGUCAAGGAUUGACCUCGCUGCAUCAAAUUCCAUCCUUCAUUUUCACCAAUGUGUCAAGAGUUGUGUUACCAUGGGGGAGGCACUGUUUGGUCCAGAGGGCACAUUUACAGGAAUAAAAUUAGCAUAGGGAAGAAAGAGUAAUUAUGCAUAAAAAAUAGCUGGGAAAAUGUUACUUGAGCAUCCUGGAAACAGUUUUUAAUAAGGCAAUAAAAACCAAACCCCACAAGGUUCACACUGCUGGGAAACAUGCUCAUAGAAUUUAUUAAAGAGCACCUCUGUCACACCAUUUGGGGCUUUAUAACAUGUGCUGUGUACAAAUAUUUCGCUAAAGGUAAUUUUCUCUAGGUGUUACAACCAUUUUCGUAUCCCCACUAGGACUUUGAGAUGACUUUGAACCCAGCCCAACCUCUUGAUCAGCACUAUCAAGCCCAGCCCUGGAAAAACUUGUUUAUUUUGCAACAAAAUCUGCAGUCAGGGGACUGAAUAGUGUUGUAUUCACUCUGGGGCUGUGUUGUGCUGUGAAAGGUUAAUUAAUUGAAGCUGUGUUUAAGUCUUAAGCAGUUCCAAAGUCUGAUUUACUAACAAUGCAUUUUCUGUUCUGCAGCAGAACCCAGCUUAGCAGUGCCUUUUCCUCAUCCUGUUGCCCUUAUAAAGCUGCUCAGGCCAUGGCAGAGCUUGGGGCUGUCCUUGCCCACCCUGAUCCUUCUAUCUCAGCUGCGCAGAUUGUUUCCACAAAGGCAGGGGAUGCAUCCCUGCAGUUCAGAUCAUGAAGUUUGUACCAGCUGCUCAUGGAGUCUCUCCUGCCUCACAGCCAGUGGAAGGGUUUUGAUUCCCAUUUCCCCAGUUCCAGUCUUGCUCAGGGUGGGUUUUGGCAGGGCUGGACUGGAAGGACGAAAUGAACGUAUCUUAAACUUAACUGUGGCUCUCUAUAAAAGGUUGCUUGGGACUUUUUCCUGCUGCUUCCACACACUUUCCCACUGCCUUGGAGAGCAGGACAAUGUGCAGUGUGUGCAGCUGAGCCCAAGGACAGCACAGCUGUUCCAUCCUGUGCUUCCAAGCCUCCCCUUCCCAGCAAACAGAGAACCCCCAGUGAGGAGGCAGGUGGCAGAUGGCUCCAAGCACAGAGGCACUGGGAGGAAAAUGCAAGCGUUUUCUCAACAGCCCAAACCGUGCCUGACCAGACAGAUUUUGCACAGCUCUCAGUCCUUCCGUGCAUUCCCACAAGAGUAAAGGAGUGUCUGGCUGGGUGCCAGCCUCCAGGGAAAGAUGCACUGGGUCCUGCUGGCUCCUCAGGGGAGUGGCUGCUUAUUCACCUGUGCCGAGAGAGCAGGAGGGCUUUGCAGAGGAGGCAGUGGGUGACAUGAUACAGGACCACAGGAGAACCCUUCCUUCAAGACCAGUGAGAACAUGGAGGCUCAAUGCUACCAAUCUUCUGUGGUUUCUUAAUGAAAUCAAAGUCAUGAGGUGAUAAAAUAGGUCUUUAUCCACUGUUUAGGAUGUUAGUCAGGAAUUCAUGGGGAAUAUAUUCAGGCAAAUGUGGGGUUACCAUGUAGUGAACUUACACAAAAUGUUUGCAGCAUUUUUCUGGCUCUGAUCUUCAGCUCUGUCCACCUUCUGUCUGUGUCAGCAGAAUGAGAUCUAUGAGCUGCAAGACCUGAGGUGUUUAACUGCUCAUGUGUCAUUUCUGAGGCUGUUGCCUCAGAAACAAAUACCAGUCAGGAGGGGAAAAACUGGGAAAGCAAACUUGGAGUUCCACAUGCUCCUCCCUGUCCCACUGGGGCCAUGGUAGAGCCUCCAGACAGCUUUACAGCAAAAUUUUCUGAAGUAUUCAGAAAUUUGGGUGACAUAUUUAAAACUAUCUAUUCAUGGAAGAUUUAGUGUUUGAUUUUCGGUAGCACUUGACAGAGACCUACCCAGUGAAUAUACAGGGAAAUGAGAUUUCAAGUGCUUUGAGCCAAGGAAUAAACUGGACAUUGGCCUUAAAAUAUCACUGUCUCAGUAUCUCUAAAAACUUGCACAGGUAUGUAAAAACUAUAAUUUUUCAAUAUCAGUAAAGGGCUUUUGAGGUCUUUAGAAAGGCAAAAAAGAGAAGCAUCACAUUUUUUACUUUAAAUCUAUUUAGUCUUAAAAUUAAUAUUCCUAACAGUUAUCCUCUAGACUCCUUGGUGCCCUCACCUUUUUUCUAGCACUGCACCUGGCAUCUGCUCAGCUGUGUUGUGUUUUUGAGCAUCAGGAGUGGAAGAUUUUCCCUCUCAGAAUCUCCUCAUCAGCAUGCUGCUCUUGGCAGACGGGCUUGUCUUCAGCUCCAAGACAUGCAUAUUGAUCAGUCAUUUCCUUUUGUUACCUUGCAUCCUGCCAUCGAUUUUAAUUGUUCCCUACUGAAGAGGAAGCAUUCAGUACACUUACAAUUACCAACGACAAAAUUUUUGCUUUCCACACCUUUUGCCAGGCAUUGCCUGCGCUCAGCUCUCAAGAGCUGUGGAUCUCUCUCCCUCUCAGCAAGCAGCAAUCUGUACAAAUCAUGCAGCAGUCAAUUUGUGUCUAUUAAAUAAAUUUCUGAUUCUCUGUGACAGCUUUCUCUGCUGCAUGAUUUCACACUUCAGCAGUUUGUUUCUGAGGUGCCACGUGGGUUUUUUUCUUUUUUGAAGGGGUGGUGGUGAUA